GCCCGGAUAGCCUGGUGGUUAGGUAUUCGACUCACAGUCGUUCGCUCUGGGUUCGAGUCUCAGUCGGGGCA
rnacentral:tRNA from 1 species